GAGUAAAGUAACUAGAAAUUAUUUCUAAUUAAGACUUCGCAAAUGGAACUAAAAUAUGAUGAAAUUAUACUUCUUUCGUAACUUGUAACUAUUGCCCAUUGAAAUGGUUACAACUUCCACAUCAAUGGACAUGGAGGUAAGUAUGUUUUUUAUCGCACAUUUUCUCUCUUUUUUCAUUCUCAUUUCAUUUUUUAUUUUUUCUUGUAGGUUCCAGCGGCAUAUUUCGAAAUAAAUCA